AUUAACCCAUCCUCCCUCAUUCCCCACACCCUCUGCCCUUGACCCUCCCAGUACACUUGAUACAUCCCAGCCACUCCCUAACCUAUACAAAUACACCCAAGGAUGGACAGAGCAUCAGACUUCCUCCUGCCCCCUGCUCUGCACUCUCAGGUGUUCCACUUGUCACCCUCUGCACUUGCCGCAUAAAGAUGGAGCCGUGUCCAAAGGGGCACUGCCAUGGCCCUGGGCACCACCAUGGCCCAGGAUGCCCCCCCCAUGGCCCAGGAGGCCCCCAUCCAGGGCCCGGUGGGCACCCCCCUGGCCAUGGCCCAGGGCACCCCCCACACCCACAUGGUCCACAUCAUUGAAGAAGGAGAAGCAGCAGGGCACAAGAAUGGCGAGCCCGAGUGGGUUGCCCUGCUAAGCUGGCAUGGGGCUUGAACCAGAAUCCUCUAAUAAACAGCCUCCUGGAGGCCAUGUUUCACUCUUAAAAGAGCUUGUCUUCUUUCACAUUCAACUUGCCAAGCAGGGGGCCUGGUGGUCUCUGGGUUCCCUAGUUGGGAAAGUGGGGUACUUAGCCAGACAUUCUCAGAAGCUUCCCUCAGUGGUGCCCAUGCAUAUGUUGUAUAAGGCCACCCUUCCUUUCUUUUUCACUUCUGCCCCCUCCCAUCAAAAGGCCUCAAGUGUAGCCCAUCAUAUACACCCAGGCCUGGUGGGCCUUCCAAGGUUCCAUCUUGCAUGCCUCACUCUACAGAUCAGAAGCCUUCAAUGGAUCCCUACCAUCCAGAUGUAUU
rnacentral:lncRNA from 1 species